AGAGAGAGACAUGCGCGCAUAUCAAUAAGCGGAGGAAAAGAAACUAACAAGGAUUCCCCUAGUAACGGCGAGUGAAGCGGGAAGAGCUCAAAUUUGAAAUCUUAAAGGGUUUCCCUUUACGAAUUGUAGUUUAAAGAAGUGUUUUCUGUUGAGGUUUUGGUAAAAGUUCUUUGGAAUAGGACAUCAUAGAGGGUGAGAAUCCCGUAUUUGACCUUUACUUUCAACUUUGUGAUACACUUUCAAAGAGUCGGAUUGUUUGGGAAUGCAGUCCAAAAUGGGUGGUAAAUUUCAUCUAAAGCUAAAUAUUGGCGAGAGACCGAUAGCGAACAAGUACCGUGAGGGAAAGAUGAAAAGAACUUUGAAAAGAGAGUUAAACAGUACGUGAAAUUGUCAAAAGGGAAGCGUUUGACACCAGUGUUGUUUUUCUGAAAAUCAAUUAAAGAACUGUUUAUGCUAAGUUGUUUAGACUUUAUCAGCUAACUGUUUAGUUUUGAGCUUUUCUUUAAUGCACUUUUCAGUUAACAAGUCAACAUCAAUUUCUUUUGCUGUAAAAAAGCUUGAGGAAGGUGGCUUGAGAUUCGUCUUAAGUGUUUAUAGCCUCUUGCCUAUGCAGUCGGAGAGAUUGAGGUCUGCAGCGUAGAUCCUUCGGGGCUAAAUGCGUUUGUGCUAAGUUUAUAGCAUUUUAUAGACAACUUGUUGACUAUGAUUUGUCUUGUAGCUUACUCGCUUAUGUUAUUUUACCUACGCUUAGGAUGUUGAAGACUCUACAGAGAUA
rnacentral:rRNA from 1 species